AACACUUUGAUUGGAUUCUUCGGAUGAAGAUAAUUGUGACUGAUUGGCGGACGGGUGAGUAACGCGUGGGCAACCUGCCUUACACAGGGGGAUAACAGUUAGAAAUGACUGCUAAUACCGCAUAAGACCCCAGAACCGCAUGGUUCUGAGGUAAAAACUCCGGUGGUGUAAGAUGGGCCCGCGUCUGAUUAGGUAGUUGGUGUGGUAACGGCUCACCAAGCCGACGAUCAGUAGCCGACCUGAGAGGGUGACCGGCCACAUUGGGACUGAGACACGGCCCAGACUCCUACGGGAGGCAGCAGUGGGGAAUAUUGCACAAUGGGGGAAACCCUGAUGCAGCGACGCCGCGUGAGCGAUGAAGUAUUUCGGUAUGUAAAGCUCUAUCAGCAGGGAAGAAAAUGACGGUACCUGACUAAGAAGCCCCGGCUAACUACGUGCCAGCAGCCGCGGUAAUACGUAGGGGGCAAGCGUUAUCCGGAUUUACUGGGUGUAAAGGGAGCGUAGACGGUCCUGCAAGCCAGAUGUGAAAGCCCGGGGCUCAACCCCGGGACUGCAUUUGGAACUGUAAGGCUAGAGUGUCGGAGAGGCAGGCGGAAUUCCUAGUGUAGCGGUGAAAUGCGUAGAUAUUAGGAGGAACACCAGUGGCGAAGGCGGCCUGCUGGACGAUGACUGACGUUGAGGCUCGAAAGCGUGUGGAGCAAACAGGA
rnacentral:rRNA from 1 species